rnacentral:rRNA from 1 species
CAGACGGGUGAGUAACGCGUGGGGAUGUACCCAGAGGUGUGGAAUAACUGUGGGAAACUACAGCUAAUACCGCAUAAGCCCUUCGGGGGAAAGAUUUAUUGCCUUUGGAUCAACCCGCGUCAGAUUAGCUAGUUGGUGGGGUAACGGCCCACCAAGGCGACGAUCUGUAGCUGGUCUGAGAGGAUGACCAGCCACACUGGGACUGAGACACGGCCCAGACUCCUACGGGAGGCAGCAGUGGGGAAUAUUGGACAAUGGGCGCAAGCCUGAUCCAGCCAUGCCGCGUGAGUGAUGACGGCCUUAGGGUUGUAAAGCUCUUUUAACAGGGACGAUAAUGACGGUACCUGUAGAAUAAGCCCCGGCUAACUUCGUGCCAGCAGCCGCGGUAAUACGAAGGGGGCUAGCGUUGUUCGGAAUUACUGGGCGUAAAGCGCACGUAGGCGGAUUGUUAAGUCGGGGGUGAAAUCCUGAGGCUCAACCUCAGAACUGCCUUCGAUACUGGCGAUCUUGAGUUCGGAAGAGGUUGGUGGAACAGCUAGUGUAGAGGUGAAAUUCGUAGAUAUUAGCUAGAACACCAGUGGCGAAGGCGGCCAACUGGUCCGACACUGACGCU